rnacentral:rRNA from 1 species
GAUCAUGGCUCAGGAUGAACGCUAGCUACAGGCUUAACACAUGCAAGUCGAGGGGAAACGAUAGAGAGAGCUUGCUUUUUCUAGGCGUCGCCGGCGCACGGGUGAGUAACGCGUAUCCAACCUGCCCACCACUUGGGGAUAACCUUGCGAAAGUAAGACUAAUACCCAACGAUAUCUCUAGAAGACAUCUGAAAGGGAUUAAAGAUUUAUCGGUGAUGGAUGGGGAUGCGUCUGAUUAG